GCCGGAGCGUUGGAGAAUCUUGCGCUGGAAAUCGAGGGAAGAGGGGAGGAAGUCGCCGGUGAGGGUGGAGUGGUGGAGGAACUUUUGGAAGUGGACGCGGAGGUGGUGGGGGGGACGGUAGCAGGAGUAGUCGAUGAGGUAGAUGGAGGUGGGGCGGGUCAUGAUGUAGAGGGUGGAUCCCAAGGCGAGGAUGGCGGAUAUAGCGAUGACGCUGAGGAGGUUGUACUGUAGGUGGGCCCACAGCUCCUGAAUGUCCUGCGUCUUCAUCUGAGAGGCUUGGAUGAGGAUUACGGACAUCAGAGGUAGCAGGCACAGGGUUACCAGGUGUGACAUCAGGUAGUGGUACCCCAGUUUCACAUACUUCAGCUUCACGCUCUGCA
rnacentral:lncRNA from 1 species